UCCUUCCGGGGGGAUGCUCAGCCCCGCGGGAAAACGCAGAAAAGGGUCCUUGCCGCUUUAAGUGACUCAGGAAGUGAAAGGAGGCCGCUGACGGCGUGGGUAAAGUGGAACCGGGGCGGCGUGGGCCCGCGGCGGCCGCGAUUUUGCCCGGCAACGGAGGCCGAGCAGUGCGGCGCAGGGGCCGACGGGGCGCGGGCUGCCGCGCCGGAAGUGGCGCGUGAGGGACGGGGCGCGGCGCGCAGCGGAGAGACUGAGUGGGCGCCAGGCCCAGCGCUGACGGCUGGCCGGGCCCUCAGGCCUCAGCAGCUGCAGACGCGGCGCAGCGGAGCGGGGCGGCUGGCAAGUCCCCGGGGAGGCGGGCCUGCGUGAGGAGGCCCCGCGGCGAAGGCGGAGAGUACGCAAGCUGCUAGGCCUCGGCCUCGUCCCUGCAGCCACAUGGCCUCCGGAGUGGGCGCGGCCUGCGAGGAGCUGCCUCCCGACGGCACGUGUGACGAGUGUGAACCCGACGAGGCGCCCGGGGCGGAGGAGGUGUGCCGCGAUUGCGGCUUCUGCUACUGCCGCCGCCACGCUGACGCGCACCGCCAGAAGUUCCUCAGCCACCGCCUGGCCGCGUACGUCCAUGGCGCCCAGGCCUGGACUCCGCCAGCCAGCGGGGACGACGCGCUCCCCGAAGACGUCGAGGCCAAAGGGGAGGCCGAGGGGGAGGUAGAGAGCGAGGUCGGGGAAGAAGAGAGCGAGUCGGAGGUAGACAGUGAGUCGGAAGAAGAGAGCGAGACAGAGGAAGACAGUGAGGAUGAGAGUGAUGAGGAGAGUGAAGAAGACAGCGAGGAAGAGAUGGAAGAUGAGCAGGAAAGUGAGGCGGAGGAAGACAACCAAGAAGGAGAAUCUGAGGCAGAAGGGGAAACUGAGGCAGAAAGCGAAUUUGACCCCGAAAUAGAGAUGGAAGCGGAGAGAGUGGCCAAGAGGAAGUGUCCAGACCAUGGGCUGGAUUUGAGCACCUAUUGCCAGGAAGAUAGGCAGCUUAUCUGUGUCCUGUGUCCAGUCAUUGGGGCUCACCGGGGCCACCAGCUGUCCACGUUAGAUGAAGCCUUCGAAGAGCUGAGAAGCAAAGAUUCUGGUGGACUGAAGGCAGCUAUGAUAGAGUUGGUGGAAAGGUUAAAGUUCAAGAGCUCAGAUCCUAAAGUAA
rnacentral:lncRNA from 1 species